rnacentral:rRNA from 1 species
UGCGCAGGCGGAUCAAUAAGUCGGGGUUAAUCCAUGUGCUUAACACAUGCACGGCUUCCGAUACUGUUGAUCUAGAGUCUCGAAGAGGAAGGUGGAAUUUCCGGUGUAACGGUGGAAUGUGUAGAUAUCGGAAAGAACACCAGUGGCGAAGGCAGCCUUCUGGUCGAGUACUGACGCUCAUGCACGAAAGCGUGGGGAGCAAACAG